GCCUUUAAUUGAAAAUAAAAGUGGAUACAAAAAUACAAAAUCCGUAUUUGUAUAAAAGGAUCCCAAUAUUGGAAAGGUUGAACAAAAUAAAUAGAAAUUUGGCACAAUUUUAUUGGUUGUGUUCGGAGAACAGAAAAUGGCUAUCGACAGUUGGAUUUUUCCAAACAUCAACAUUCAAGAAAAGUUUAUAACCACUCACCAAAAUAAAGAAAACAUGAAACUAAUGUCCUGUAUCAAAAUUUUAUCCGCAAUUAAGUUAACAUGUAUUUUUAUCGGCAA